CAUACUAAAUACGAAGCCCUCCCCCUAAGCUCCACAGAAAAACAAACCUAAUUCUCCCCCAUGUAACAACAGGACUUGUAGAUUUGCUGUACGUCCGUACACGAAGACAGCCCUCCCGAGGAAUGUAUAUAAUGUUAACAUUUACAUUUGGCAGCAUGCCACUUUCAGAGUAGCUCCUUAGCACCUCAAGGUUCAGCCUUGUGCAAGGACUAAGCUUGGACAUGCCAUCCACUCUCUUAAACGGUAUGGCUUCCUUUUCGCCACACUUGCUGAGGUCAAUGUCGUCGGUAAUAGGGCUGUGGUGGGAUGACGUGUCCACCACAAACACUUCAUAAAUACAUGUGAAUCCAUUCAGGAGAAUACUGAUUGCCAGUAUUAAGGAAAUCCUUGGUUGAGAGAAUCCCCAAGACACAAGGAACAAAGUUCCUGUUUUCAUCGUAAGUCCUCAUAACCUUAACCCUUUUUAUUGUUAGAAUGAAUUAUUCAUCAUUAUGGAAUAGAGAAAAUAUAUUCCGUCAUAAAUAUUCUAGCAAGUUUUGAAGGGUUAUGUAAUGUAACUAUAUUACCAGUGUCCACAAAUUUUUACUCUGCAUGGCAAUAUAUAACCUUUUAUAAUAUUCUUAUACUAUGUAACUUUGGCACAAAGAAAGAAUGUAUUUACUCUUUCAAAUGAAUAUCUAACAAAUGUUCUUGUUUUUAUUUGUUAUGUUUAUACAAAUUAUUUUUUUCAGUCUAAAAGGGCCAAUUGUUCAAAUGUGUGCAUGUAGUAUAAAGUGGUAACACACAAGAUCAUUGAGGACUGCACCUGCUGCUUGGGGCUUGCCAGCUGGGAGCAUCCCCUGCCAAGUGGGGCCCAGAUGGGCAGUUACUUUUUGAUGAAAAGCGGACGCAGCCAUACAUUGACAAUACGGGCACAUAAUUGUAUAGCUUGUCCAACAGUAGGAAUCCCAGAAAAGAUUCCCACGGAACAGGGGACCAACUUUACGGCCUAAUGAAAUAGUUGGACAGGGGGCUUGGCAUGAAGGGAAUCUGAAGAACAACUCACCAUCCACCAUCUAAUAGCCGGCUUUGCCGGUUUAGCACUUUUGGGUUGAUGAAGGACCUGUGUUGUAUGAGCUGGGCUUUAAUUUGCUUUUGGAGAAACCUUUGAUCCACAUAGCCAACCUGUGUUUUGGACUUAUGUUCGGUCUGGCCUGCCAUCAGUUUGGUUUGUUCUUUGAUUUGAUAUAAGUUUGCCUUUCAGGAGUGAGAUGAUUCAAGUAAAUGUGUGAUAUUUAUUGUAUUCCCACAAGUGCAACAUUAUACAAUAUAGUCAUGAAAAAACAGUACACGAUCAUAACAAAAAAAUCUAACAAGGGAAGAUUAUAUUUUGUUAUUGACUCAAGUUUUUGAUCAAGGGUGGUCACUAUUUGGAACUUUUCCUGUACAGUUAUAGCAUAGUUUUUAUUUUGUGUGUUCUAUGUGAAUGAUUUUCAUGUAUGGUUGCUGUCAUCCAUAAACGGUUAUUCAAGCAAAGAUUGGUAAUGUUUUAACUGGAGAAAGGGGAUUCUGAUCUGCCAUCUGGAACCCAGAGCCAUUAAGGUUUAUAAAAGGACGACAUGGAUGAUGUUGUUUGUUACUUCAUUGUCGUUUCCUAUUUUUUUAAACCUUUGCCUGUCUUUCUAACAUCCUCUUGCAAUGUUACUUAUUUACAGAGGUAGCAUUAUGUAUGCAUAUGUAUUAUGCUACCUUGGCAGUACGAAGUUUGAAACUAUGGUCAUACUGUACAAAUGCUUGGAGAUGAAAAAAACAACACUUGUAAUCUCCACUACCCUCAUUCAUAAAGACUACUCUGCAUAGUUGGAAUUUCACUCCUUUUCUCUCUUGCUCGUUCUACCUCUCACUCUCUUUUUCACUCUUGCACUCGCUCACUCGUGUAGUUAUGUCGAGAUAUGUUGUCCUUCUUUUCCAAGUCUUCUGAUUUGUUUCCUUUUCUCCUGCAAAUCCUGUUGAGAACAGAGUUAAUGAAAAACAGUCAGCAUGGAGAAUGGCAUAAAAGGCUUAUAUUCACUAUAUGAUAUUACUUAGUAAGUGAUAGCAACUCAGGCAUGACAACCAAUAAACAAACUCUUUGUUUAUUGGUUGUCAUGUAUGUCAUGAAUCUGUGGUUUUCGGAACAAGGGGCAAUUUAGUUUAAACUUACUGAGUGGUAAUAAAAGUACACUUCCAGGUUGAGCAGACAUGAACAUUAUUAAUCCAGAUGAAAGCAAUUAAAUUCUUAGAGUAGUUUGUCAUUUCAUUCCGGUUCAGAUUGACAUGUAUGAAUUGUUUUAAUUGGACCUACCCUUGACAUUCCUGCAUCUCCUCUACAGUCUCUGGCAGUUGUUUGUUGAGGGUCUCUGGGAGGAAGACAUUAACCACUGCAGAGCCAACUGUGAUGCUUCCCAUGAGAAUGUAGGGCAGAAACUUGCUGUAUGUACCUGUUAAAUACAAUUGAUAAAGAUCAACUCAAUACUUUUGUGGUUUUGUAAAGAAAAAAAAAAAAGCCUUUCUCUGUAUUAAGUUAACAAAGAACCUUGAAUACAUUUCCCACCUUGUAUUUACAAAGUUAGUUCAUCCUGUAACACUUUACAGUAAAGGUACAAUAAUGAACUGUUAAUUAACAUUAGGUAAUGCAGUAAUAAACAAUAACGUGGGUUUUGGUGUUUCCUUCCUCUGCCACGUACCUAAAUAUAUGACGUACGGAGCGGUGAUGCUUCCGAUGCGUGCCGCGGAAGAACACAUUCCGAUGCCGAUGUUCCUCAGGACCGUCGGAAAUCCACCACCGAUGAUGAGGAAAGAGGAAAGAAGGGCUCUUCUUGGACAGUUCCUCAGAAGCAGAGUGGACAUGACAUGGGCAGGAACUUCAGUGCAGGCUGACAGGAAGCAGUUCAUGUAAGGGUCACCACUUAGGUUU